AGCAGCCGCGGUAAUUCCAGCUCCAAUAGCGUAUAUUAAAGUUGUUGCAGUUAAAAAGCUCGUAGUUGAACUUCGGGAUCAGUAUGUUGGUCGUGCUUCGGUACGUACUGUCAUUACUGAUUUCUACCUUCUGAAGAACCUUGAUGUCAUUAAUUUGGUGUCUUGGGGAAUCAGGACUGUUACUUUGAAAAAAUUAGAGUGUUUAAAGCAAGCAUACGCUUGAAUACAUUAGCAUGGAAUAAUGAAAUAGGACGUUUGAUUCUAUUUUGUUGGUUUCUAGGAUCGACGUAAUGAUUAAUAGGGAUAGUUGGGGGCAUUAGUAUUCAAUUGUCAGAGGUGAAAUUCUUGGAUUUAUUGAAGACUAACUACUGCGAAAGCAUUUGCCAAGGAUGUUUUCAUUAAUCAAGAACGAAAGUUAGGGGAUCGAAGACGAUCAGAUACCGUCGUAGUCUUAACCAUAAACUAUGCCGACUAGGGAUCGGAUGAUGUUAUUUUUAAUGACUCA
rnacentral:rRNA from 1 species